rnacentral:pre_miRNA from 1 species
CUUGGCACUUGAGGAAUUCUUUGUCUCUAGGUUCAGUUAUGAUUACAUCGAAGAAUUCCCAAGUACUGAGGG